GGAGCCAUGGGGAGGGCUAGGCCUGGGACGAGGGGGAUGAGCCAAGGUCCACAGGGGGGCGGGGAGCAGGGCUGCUCUGGGGGGUCCCUAAGCUCCCGGGUUUCAGGUCGGGUGGGGACAGCCUGAGCCCGAGGACUUAAAGCCCGUGGGGUGCAGCCUGGGCCUCCAGCCCUGGAAGGGGCGGCUGCGAACCCCCUUGCACAGCGAGGAAAGCGUGGGCCUGCGGACGAGCAGGGCUGGGUGGGCCACCAGGGCCACCAGGGCCAGCCAGUGGCCACGGGGGGGGGGGGGGGGGGGGGGGGGGGCGGGCGUCUUCCUGGAAGGUGAGGGCUGCUGCUGCUAUUUUUAGACCCGCUGGAGCAGCACUCUGGGCCCAGGAGGCCCCGGGAAUGCAGCCCGGAAUUCAGACGCUCUUUAUCGUAUUUCCUUUUAUCAGUCAAAUGAUUUUCCUAUUUCCCACAUAGAUAAAGAUCUCCGCUUAGAGCUCCAGCCCGUCGACCUUGUCAGGACCGCUGUGCGGCUUGGAAAUUGGUCCCAGAGAGGGAAGGGCUCGCAGUGAGGGGUUCUGUUCCGUGGGUUGGGUUUUUCUUCUCCCGGCAGGGAGGAGAUUGGCCUGCGGUGAAUGAAUGAAUGAAUGAAUGAAUGAAUGAAUGAAUGAAUAAAAUUUAAAAUCUCCCCCCACCAAAAAAAAAACCCAAGAGCUGAUUGCUUUGUGCCUUUUUGCAAAACUGCAAGGUCGUCCAAGCAGUUUUUUGAUUCUCCAGAGCCCCCACAUUCCCACCUGAAUACGCCCAGCAUCUCCCUCUCUCUCCCUCUGUCCCUCCCUCCCUCCCUCCGUCCCUCCGUCCCUCGUCCCUCUGUCCCUGGCUCCCCCGCAGCAGCAAGCACAGCCCUGGAGCCAGCCUGGAGCCCACAGCCACUGCCGUGUCGCCGUGUGCCGUGUCGCCGUCCGGGCAGGCGCCCGCCCCGAGGCCCCAGGUGCCGGAUGCUGAGCGGGAGCAGAAGCCAGUGGGGCUGCGGCCUGGAGUCCUCACCUUGCUUCUUACGUGCCAAAUCCUCGCUUAAUUAUGAAAACCAAACCAAACACCUUUCUCCCUUACCCGGAAGAGUGCAUUUUUGCCUGCACCGGAUCAUCGGAAAACGUGAGCGACCCCUCCGCCUCCUGAACUGAACUGGGGCCUCAUUUUGCAGAGCAAGCAGGCCCACUGCAUCUCCAGCUUAGAUGCUGAAGGGUUCCCCUCUCACAAAAGCACUUGUCUCUCAUUAAAUGCCGAGCGUUUGUUACGGCAUUACCUGCAGACAGGUCUCCACUGCCCUAAUAGGCAUGAUCUUUAGGAAAGAUCCUUUGGCUUCUGUAUAAGACCAAAGACGUGAUUAAUAUUGGCCCCAUUUAGCUGUGGGUCUAAAUGAGGCUACAGUGAACUCUUCUUUGCAUGAUCACAAUUUAUAAUUUCCUAAAAUUUAUGGCCCUUUCUCCUGUGUUGUUAACAUGUCUGGUUGUUGCAAUUCACUCGGUCUGUCCUGUUUUUUUGUUUGUUUGUUUGUUUAAAUCUGGUUCUAAGAAACAAUCAGUAAAUAUCCCAAUCAUAUUUGCUAUAAAAUCAGCAGUGAUAAAUAGACAAUAAUAUUUCACUGGAAGGCACAAGGAUGUUUAUUUAGCAUCUUUAUAGAUGCAAAGCUCCCCCUGCAGAAAUCCUACGAGAGAAACCUGUGCUCUGAACACCUUUAGACAUGCUGCCUCCUUUAAGAAGACGGGAAAGUUGCUCCCGGGCCCAGAUGCUGUUCUGGUGUCAAGGACGGAACAAAAGAAUAGUCAAAGCAGAGAGUAGGGCCAAGAAUCCAGGAGUGAAAUCUUUAACCAGGAUGGAAAGGUUGGCGGGUCUGACCUUGUGCCCGCAGAGCAGUGCCAGGAUCUGAGAGGGAGGGCCUGACACUAGGGGCUCCUUAGGGAUCUUUAGUAAGUGUCACCCCAAGUCCAGACUUUUCUUUAAGCUUUAGAAUUGUUGCUGCAGAUGCUUUUUUUUUUUUUAAAAAAGAUUUAUUUAUUUAUUUAUUUUUGAUGGACAGAGAGAGAGAGAGAGAGGCAGAGACACAGGCAGAGGGAGAAGCAGGCUCCAUGCAGGGAGCCCGAUGUGGGACUCGAUCCCGGGACUCCAGGAUCACACCCUGGG
rnacentral:lncRNA from 12 species